rnacentral:rRNA from 1 species
UACGUAGGCAGCAAGCGUUGUUCGGAUUUACUGGGCGUAAAGAGUGCGUAGGCGGUGCUCCAAGUCUGGUGUGAAAUCUCCCGCUUAACCGGGAGGGUGCGCCGGAAACUGGGGUGCUGGAGUGUGGGAGAGGUAAGCGGAAUUCCCGGUGUAGCGGUGAAAUGCGUAGAUAUCGGGGAGGAACACCUGCGGUGUAGACGGCUUACUGGACCAUAACUGACGCUGAGGCACGAAAGCGUGGGUAGCAAACAGG